GGCGAAUUGGCUCAGUUGGUCAGAGCAGCAGAAUCAUAAUCUGUUUGUCCUGGGUUCGAGUCCCAGAUUCGCUU
rnacentral:tRNA from 1 species